AAAAUAUGCAUUAUGUCUGCCAAAGCAAGUGGUAAUAGGACACGUCUCCCAAAAACCUGCAAUAAACUCAUUGUUUGAA